rnacentral:lncRNA from 1 species
UUAGGGCGUGAGCGGUGAAAUUGAGGCUACUGGAACUCUUCUCUCCAGCGGGUCACCGUGGAAAAAGGGCAAACUUGUGUGGCCUAGGGCAGGGUAGACGCGUCGAGAACAAUGAACGCCAGAUAAAUGCCUCCUGAUUUUCUUCAGAGAAGCCUCAGUGUUUCAGGGAGAGAGGUCUUGGCUUUCCCUUGGCUGGAAUCUUCUGUCUUCAACAUCUGGAAGAUUCUUCUUGCUCUGCCUUCAGGACUCAGUUUAGGAGGUGACAUCUUUGAUUGUCUCCCCAACGUUUACUCAGCAUGUCAGCACAGGCUGCUUCAGUGUACUCUCUGUUGAUGUUCCUGGUGCUCAGCUCACCUCCGUUGCCCAGCUCACCUUCUCUGUUGCCAAGGCUGGGUGCAAUGCUGAUGCCCCACACAGGAGGAAGUCUCUGUACAGGUUAUGAUGGAAUAUCCUCUCACUUGGAUUUUUAAGGUGAUGGUAUGUAACUCAACUGAUUUCUCAUGAACAUCCAAGAAACUUAAAUGUGGAUGCCCGGGCCACAACACCCACAGCACUAUGCUGUCCUUUUUAGCAUUUACAGACUUUGCAAUCUGCAUUACUUGAAUCACCUCAGGAGACUCCAUGACUAAUCCUUCAUAAUGUAUCAUUUAUUUGUGUGUUAUUUUUAUAUUGCUUACAUCGAAUGUUUUAAUCAAUUUUCUCCUAUGCUAAACAUGCAAACCCUACAUCUUGCCUUGUUACACUGAAGUGCACACAAAAUGCAUCAAUAACAUUGAUUGUUAGUUGACAAAAUGUCUUUCCAUUUCUCAUAGUUUUUUCCCCCUCUGGAAAGAAUAAGGUGAUUCUUUGUAGAGAAAAAAAUAAGUAUAUAGCAAUGCGUUAUGUUUUGGGCACUUGGAUCAUUCUGUAAGUCAGUCAUGUUUAUUUAAAACUUGGCUAUUCUGGUAGGAUGAUUUAUGCCUUUGCUGACUUAGACUGCUCUUAACAACUUUGUUCUGUGAUGGUUUAAUGGCUCUGCGGGCCUUUGUGUCCUCAAGGAGACUGCCCCCCCCCCCUUUUCUGCUAUCCACAACUAGACACAAGGAAAAUCCAAGCAGUGGGGUAGAGAUGCUACUGAUAUGGAGUGUACUAGAAAGAGAAGGUAAUUAAAGUAAAAUAAAGCCUUUACAUCCCAGUCCUGGGGAGAGCUU